GUCUUAUUCCUCACCUCUAUGUUAAGGGGGGCUCACUGAGGCUCACAACGGGAGACAUUUCACCAAGUUAUCCUGAGAAGCUCUGAGGUCACAGAGCAGCGUGGCAAUUGGGAUUACAGAGCGAGACUCCAUCUCAAAAAAAGAAAAAAAAAAAGCAUUGUCAAAACUUAAUAACUGCAACACUAUAUCCUGAGCAGCUGAAUCUGCAAUCAUCUUUUUAAGAGACUUCUGUAACCAAGCUAUAAAAUCAA